AAAUAACAAGUCUAGAGAAAUGCCCUGCGUGUUGUUUUUAAUUUCUCGCGAAAACUGAAAAGGAAAAAAUGAUUUUCGCAUAAAUAGAUCCAGAUUUCAGUAAAAACCUAACAACGAUCUGACAACUAGUCAGGUAAAAGCAAGAAAACGACCAGAGACCAAAUCUUUACUAAGGGUUUUAGGAUAUAGGCAGAUGCUAUAGUUAAAACUGUGCAUUUUGUAGAUUUACAGAAGUGCAUAAUAAAGUGUUAUUUUGGUAUAGAUUAAUUAAAUACAUCAUUUAUGUUAUGUACAGUUUUAUUUACCAACUUUCUUUUUCCAGAUUUACGAGAAAAUUACGAAAAAUCAAUUUUUCUGUUAUUUUCUAAGAAAAAAGUCCGGUAUAAAAAGAUGAAUUCAAAAUUUGCAAUUCUCGUCACAAUUCUAUGUUUCUCACUCUUUAUCACGUCACAAGCUGCAUUUCCAGCGAACAAAUGGUCAAGGCACAUUUGGUCGAGACGUAUGCAACUUGGUAUAGAUUCUUGGAGCUGUACCAGACGUGUUCACCGUGCCUGUAGUGAAAUCCGCCCAAACUGUGGGGCCCGAGUACGAUAUCAGCGCAGUAUAUCAGCAGAAGGGCUUCUCCAAACUUUAUUAUCAUUAUCGUCACAAUCUAAAGUCCAUGACGUCACAAAGCGCUCUGUUUACUACUUGCAACGUCACAGAGUAUACCCACGUGUCACGUGUGAGAUCUGCUAUCUUUUACGAUGCUAGACCCUUCAAAUAUUUCGUAAUACCACUUGUGACGUCGUAGUUGUGACGUCACGAGUUAUGAUGUCACAUUUUUUUGACGUCAGAGGCCAAUCCGCACUGCCAACGCAAGCUCAUUAUUUUAUUCUUUAAUUUUUUACUUUUCGCGCUUUUUGUACCUUUUCGUUUAUUUAUGUAAAUUAUUUACAAGUUCUUAUAAACUGUUUUUUCUCUCUGUGUCUUUAAUUACUUUCCUGUAGCGCUGUGAAUAAAAUACAAAUAC